rnacentral:rRNA from 1 species
UACGGAGGAUCCGAGCGUUAUCCGGAUUUAUUGGGUUUAAAGGGUGCGCAGGCGGGAGAUUAAGUCGGCGGUGAAAUUUUGCAGCUCAACUGUAAAAGUGCCUUCGAAACUGGUUUCCUUGAGUGUAGAUGAAGUAGGCGGAAUUUGUGGUGUAGCGGUGAAAUGCUUAGAUAUCACGAGGAACUCCGAUUGCGCAGGCAGCUUACUAAACUACUACUGACGCUCAGGCACGAAGGCGUGGGGAUCAAACAGGAUUAGAUACCCCCGUAGUCCCUGA